GGGGCAGGAGAAUCACUUGAACAUGGGAGGCAGAGGUUGCAAUGAGAGGGUGCCUAGGGAUGAAUCUAAUAAAACGUAUGCAAACAUUUAUGAAGAAUAAUGUAAAGUUUUAUUGAAGCCCAAUGUAAAGGAAGUGAUAUACCAUGUUCAUGAUUAAGAAGGCACAAUAUCAUAAAGAUGUAACUUCUGGCAUUAAGACGUAAAUUCAAUCUAGCUCCCAACACAAUUUUUUAGGAGAUCGAUAGGCUCAUCUAAAAUUCAUAUGAUGAGUAAAUGGCCAAGAAUAGCCACAACAAUUUUGAAGAAGGGUAUGGUGGUGUGAGAAUUAAUUUACCAGAUAACAAGACUUCGUAUAAAAUAUGGUAAUAAAGCAGUGGAGCACCAGGGCAGGAAUAGAUACCCAGAAAAAUGGGCCAGAAAAGCCUGGAUUAACAUUUGGGCAUAUGUAGACAAUCAGAAGACCACAAAGAUGGCAUAAAAGAUAAGCAGGAAAAGGAUGAGUUACUCAGAUACAAAUGGAUUCAUCAGGGAAAUAAAAAGUAAAAUAACAAUGCAUCAUUUUAUGCUCAUUGAAUUGUCAAACAUUAAAAUAUCUGACAGCAUCAGGUAAUGAUAAAGAUGAAGAAAAAUGGAAAUUACUACACUAAAGGUAAGGGUACACAUCAGUAAAACUACUGUGGAGAGGAAGAAAUUUGUCAGUAUCUAGGAAAUAUUAAGAUAUGCAUUUUAUAUGACCCAACAAUUCCACCUCUAGGUGUAUAUUUUGGAGAAACUUUUGCACAUAUUCCAAUGACACUGGCAUAGGAAUACUCAUUGCAUAGUCACUUAUGACAGUGAAAAUCAAAUGUUGCUAAACAGGGAGAUUAAUAAAUUGUAUAUAUGUGUAAAAUUAUAGCAGUGGUAUACACACAACUUUUGCCAUUUAUAGCAAUGAAAAUUAAAUAUUGAUAAAUAGGGAGAUUAAUAAAUUAUACGUAUGUAUACAAUUACAGCAGUUGUAUGCAUAAAGCAGUGGAAAUUAAAUGCUGAUAAAUAGGGAGCUUAAUAAUAUACAACUAAGCAGCUGGAGCUAUUUGUAUCCCCAAAACCCAAAGCCGAAUGAAAAAAAAUCAAAGUGCAUAAUGUUAUCUGCUAUUUUUUAUGCAAAACUCAUAAAUACCAAAGUAAUUGGUCAUGUUAUUUAAGGACAGAUAGAUUUGAGGCAAAUGCAUUUUAAAAAUAGCUGGGAAGGAUAUAUAAUAACUUUAGGAUUGUAGUUACUGCUGAAGAGAGAGGUAGAGAAUUUGGUUGUUGAGGUAUGUAAAUGACAGUAUCUGGGAUAUUAAAUGAAUGCUUGUUAAAAAAGGAACAGACAAGGCAAAGUAUGAAUAUUUAUAAGAUUUGGAUGUGGGUAAAUGAGUCUUUGUUAUGUUUUUCUGUAUAUUUUCAAGUAUUUGUGAAAUAUAUUAUGCAAUAAAUAAAAGAUCACAAAUGGAUGAUGAACUCACAGCUGGUUUUAAGUAACGACAUUGAAUAAUUCUAGUCAGGAAAACAUGAACAAAAGAAAAUGUGAAACUUUGGCCCCGAGAUUUGUGGCUUGUUGAAUGAAAGUUGAUCAUAUCUCAGGUUUGGAAACUUGGGAAAGUUGAUGGAAUCUCAGGUUUGGAAACUCUCCUUUUGAUUGUUCUUGGUUGUUCCCAGGAGAAGUUCCAAGAAACUUCUGGGAAAAAAAUGCCACCCAUAAGUGUCCUAAGAUAAAUGUUUUAGCAUGUGUCUGCACACUUUAUUUUCAGAGUUAAAAUGCAGUCCCCCCUCCUCCUUUUAAAAAAUCUAUUCUAAUACAUUUUGUUGUGGCAAAGAAGAAAAACUUGUUUCAAGUUAAAUUUUUCAUGUAAUGCAUAUUUCGCAUACAUAUAUAAAGACCUUCCAAAAACCAUUGCUCACGUAAUAAUUUAUUAAGUCAAUUUCAGCUAAACAUUGCUACCAUUGCAAAAGCAUUUGCUCUGAAAAGGGACUGAAAAAUGCAUCAUAAAGUUACAUAGUUCAGCAACAAUAUCAGUAUUGAUUAUGUAAAGUAAAACUACUGGCAAAUGUCAUUUAAGCUUACCCUGUAAUUUUUAAUAACUUUAUAAUGAGCAAAUGUGUCACCUUAAAAAUGUACCAGUGGCAUUUACAAAUUCUUUCAAACUCAUUUACAAAUACAGUAAUAAAAAUUCCUGAGCUCCCUUUUCUUACACCAGUGUUCACCAACCAACAUCCAUGUAGUGUUUUAUUUGACCGACAUCCUCUUUCUUUUUCUUAAGAAAAUAUUUUAUCACAUUCGUAAAGGUAUCUGUGCUUCCAGUCAGUUUGUAAGUAUCUGUUUUUAAUGUGAACCUGAUCAUAACAAGAGAAAAAUGCUUAACAUUAGCAGGGGCAACAGGAAUUGAGGGGCGGUGUGGGGGAUGGUGGAGGAGAUGUAGAUACAAGAAUUCCAGUUUAGGUAUUGGGACCUCCAAAGUAGAAUGCAUCUGACAGUAUCAAAAACAGGCUCAGUUUCAUCUGCAUGGUUUUGAGGGACUUUCAAAGGUAAAGCCAGCAAAAGUUACUCUGCAUAUUCUGGCCAGGAAGGUCCCUGUUGGGGGUUUUUCAAUAAUUCUAUUUCUUAUCCUUCUCCUCUGUCCCCCUACUGCUCCCUUACCCCAACAUUUCAAAGUUUCUAUUAAAUAGAAGUUGCAUCUUUCAGCCCCGAAAAAACUGGGGAGAUUUACAAGGUGUAAAACUUGAUUAGUAAGUUGUAGGAAACCUGACAAGGUUAAGGUGUCAGAUGGGAAUCUGGCAAGAUGUGGCAAUAUUUAAUUUCUGUUUUCUUUCGGGAAAGUAUAUUCAAUGCUUUUGAAAAAUUAGUUACAUAUUACUUCUCCAGCUCACCAUUAAUUAUAUAGAUCCUGUGUCUGGUGACUGAGACUUCAAAUUUUGCACCUUAAAAA